GAAUUCGCCCUUAGAGUUUGAUCCUGGCUCAGGAUGAACGCUGGCGGCGUGCUUAACACAUGCAAGUCGAACGGACUCAUAUUGAAACCUAGUGAUUUAUGAGUUAGUGGCGGACGGGUGAGUAACGCGUGGAAAACCUGCCGUAUACCGGGGGAUAACACUUAGAAAUAGGUGCUAAUACCGCAUAAGCGCACAGCUUCGCAUGAAGCAGUGUGAAAAACUCCGGUGGUAUAUGAUGGUUCCGCGUCUGAUUAGCUAGUUGGCGGGGUAACGGCCCACCAAGGCAGCGAUCAGUAGCCGGCCUGAGAGGGUGAACGGCCACAUUGGGACUGAGACACGGCCCAAACUCCUACGGGAGGCAGCAGUGGGGAAUAUUGCACAAUGGGGGAAACCCUGAUGCAGCGACGCCGCGUGAGUGAAGAAGUAUUUCGGUAUGUAAAGCUCUAUCAGCAGGGAAGAAAAUGACGGUACCUGACUAAGAAGCCCCGGCUAACUACGUGCCAGCAGCCGCGGUAAUACGUAGGGGGCAAGCGUUAUCCGGAUUUACUGGGUGUAAAGGGAGCGUAGACGGCAGCGCAAGUCUGGAGUGAAAUGCCGGGGCCCAACCCCGGAACUGCUUUGGAAACUGUGCAGCUUGAGUGCGGGAGAGGUAAGUGGAAUUCCUAGUGUAGCGGUGAAAUGCGUAGAUAUUAGGAGGAACACCAGUGGCGAAGGCGGCUUACUGGACCGUAACUGACGUUGAGGCUCGAAAGCGUGGGGAGCAAACAGGAUUAGAUACCCUGGUAGUCCACGCUGUAAACGAUCAAUACUAGGUGUGCGGGGACUGACCCCCUGCGUGCCGGAGUUAACACAAUAAGUAUUGCACCUGGGGAGUACGAUCGCAAGGUUGAAACUCAAAGGAAUUGACGGGGGCCCGCACAAGCGGUGGAUUAUGUGGUUUAAUUCGAAGCAACGCGAAGAACCUUACCAGGGCUUGACAUCCUACUAACGAAGUAGAGAUACAUUAGGUGCCCUUCGGGGAAAGUAGAGACAGGUGGUGCAUGGUUGUCGUCAGCUCGUGUCGUGAGAUGUUGGGUUAAGUCCCGCAACGAGCGCAACCCUUAUUGUUAGUUGCUACGCAAGAGCACUCUAGCGAGACUGCCGUUGACAAAACGGAGGAAGGUGGGGACGACGUCAAAUCAUCAUGCCCCUUAUGUCCUGGGCUACACACGUAAUACAAUGGCGGCCAACAGAGGGAUGCAAAGCUGUGAAGUGGAGCGAACCCCUAAAAGCCGUCCCAGUUCAGAUUGCAGUCUGCAACUCGACUGCAUGAAGUCGGAAUCGCUAGUAAUCGCGGAUCAGCAUGCCGCGGUGAAUACGUACCCGGGCCUUGCACUCACCGCCCGUCA
rnacentral:rRNA from 1 species